rnacentral:lncRNA from 1 species
CACGGCCUACUAAGUGUAAAAGAAACAAUCCUUACUGCAGGCCUCCCUGAAUGUGGUAAAAAAUAAAGCUAUGGGCCUAUGGACGAUAUGGAUAUGGGUGAAGUUAUGCUAGUAAUAAAUUAACAAAUAAACAAAGUUUCCCCCCAUGCUUCAUGACCCAUGGCAAUUACCAAUGAAGUUCUUGUAAUGAUCAUAUCAUUACUUUCAUGACUACUAGUUUGUAUGUGUUAUGUUUAUGUUUAAUAAAUUAUGGAGUGUUUUUAUGUUGAAAAAUAUCAAGUACUACUUUGAUUGUGAUAGGUUUAUAUGUUUAUGUUUGAGGAAAUUAUUUCAAAAAUGAAAAUCACAUAAACCAUGAUUUGUACUCCGUUUCAAUUAUUGAUGUUGUAGAAACAAAUAACUUGGUCUGCAGUUGCUCAAAACAGUUUUGUUUUAUCUUCUGCCGGAACAAAAGUUGGAUAAAACUAGAAAGUUGGUGAGUCAAAGGGACAAGUAAAGGGAGAAUGAAUACACAAUAUUUGAGUUCAACUAUUUGCUAAAGCCCAAUUUUUACAAACCACUCCUCCCAAAUACUUUACAUUACAUACAAUAUCUCUCUAUAAAAGUCUAAACAAGGUGUGUCUAACACAUCCUUAAAAUAGCUAAAGAAUAAGUCAAUCAACAACCUAUUUACAGGCUCUCCUUCAACGUGAAUAUCGAUAGCUAGAAGAUGAGUCUUUAUUACAUGUUUAAAUGCUAAAAAUUAUCUUCAUAAGUUAUCUUAGAAAAAUAUUCAAAUAAAUCUCUCUAUAAAACAACCUUCCAUCAACUUGAAAACUCUUAAAAGAUAAAGGAUAAGGAUACUUCUUUCUUUCAUCUCCAAGGCUGUCGGUUGAACGAGGAUAAUUGCUCCAUAUUCUAUCAUGAAAUUAUCUCCUCGUUUGCUGGUUUAAAUCAGAUGUAAUCAAGGCUCUUUAUUGUCAAGAAUCCCAACCUGAAUGAACUUUCACUGAAAUAUGCACAUACUCUAAAAUAUGUCUAAAUAUUUGAUGAGACAAGAAAAGGUUCUAAAAUUGGUUUGAAUGGUCAAAUGCUCUAACAUAAAGCUUAAAAAUUUACAACAAAAUGACAUAAAAAAAAUAACAUUGAAAUUUGAUUUAUAAUAUUAGAAGUUUUGAAGAAGUGGUAAUUAAAUUAAUUAUUAGAAGUGGGAGAAUGAUGCUGGAGAAUCUGUCAAAUUUGAAACUUUUAGUAAGCUAUAAGGCACCAAAACUCCUACUUUUGCGUCGUUUUUAUUGUUAAAAAUUACUCACAAUUCUUUUAGGUAGCGUUUGAGAGUUAAAGGAUUUUAGAAUUUGGAUUUGAAUUUAAAAAAUAAUGCAAAUUGAGUACAUUUAUGUUUAUUUAAUCUAAGCUUUUGUUAGAAGCCUAUUUAUUAAUAAAUUUAAAAUCUUAAUUUUUUUUUGAAUUUGAUAAAUCCAUGCUUUUUUUUUUAAUAUAUAUUAGAUUGAAUUUUGACUAAUCUAUCUAUAAUAUAUGCGUUUCAUUCUUACUAGAGUUGUUCACGGGUCGGGACAUAACAAAAUUUUAGGUCCAAUUACUAGGCCUUGAUCUGACCCAAAAAAUGGGCUUAGAUUUUUCCUAAGUUGACUCGGAUAAAAAUGUAAAACUUGGACCCAGUCUGUAUUAAUUUUUUAAUUUAAUUUUUAUAUAAAUAAAUUUAAAAAUAUAAUACACCAAAUACAUUAAAAAUAUUAAAAUAAAAGUUUCCUAAGAAAUUUAAAAAAAAAUUAAAAAAAAAAGUCUUUAUACUUAAGUAACACUAAGAUAAGAGCAACUUAACAAGCAAAUGUUUCUAAAAUAGUAGCAAAAUUAACAAUAAAACAAGUAUUAUACAAUAUCCAAAUAUUAACAACAAAAUAAUAACAUAAUAGUGAAAUGGUAGCAAAACAGUGGGAAAAUAGCAGCAAAAGCAGUAGGUUUUUUUAUUGAAAAUCGGGUUGGGUCGGGUCGGGCCAAAAAAUCUUAUUCGAGGCUCGACCCGUUUUUCAAAUGGACUUUUUUUUUGUCCAAGUCUAUUUUCUGAGCCUAUAUUUUUUUUCUAAGUCCUCUCAUUUUUCGAGCGGACCUGACCCAGCCCAUAUACAACUCUAAUUCUUACCAUUUAUAUAAUAAAUGAGAUCUAAAUCCAAAUUUUCAAAUUCUGAAUUUCCAGAAGGAGGAUAAAUAUUUUAUUUGGAAUACUCCUCAACCAUCAAAAGCCCUAAAGAAAAUUCUAUCUUACAAUAUUUUCUAAAUUUUUCCUUCCAAGUUUCUUCAAUGUUACAUCAAUAGCAAGAGGAAGGCAAAAAACAAAGUUCAAGUCUUUCAAACUCUUCUAAAAUAGCAUCUUCAAGAUCUCCUGUAUCGAAAAGGCAAUUAUAGGGAGCCUCAACAAGUAAUGUUCUUGAAGUUGUUGAAAACCCAAUUGAUCCUCCACUAAUUAAAAUUGAACCUACUACUUGUCUAAAGGUAUUUGUUGCUAUGAAUCCUCAAAAACCUCUAGUACAUGACUUUUUUAUUAUUAUCUGAUUUAUUGUUCUACUUCUAAAAAACCAUGAUUGAAGAUUGAAAUCUCUUGGACACAAAGCAACAACAACUAAAGCAGUAGAAGAAGCCUUUGAGCACGUGCACACACACAAAAAAGAAAAACAACUGAUUAAGGAAAGACUUAUUCCAUUUCUAAUGAUAAUGUCCCAUUAUCAGACUUUGUGUCUAAUUAAACUGCCACGUAUAUAUAUAUAAAUUGAAAAGAGUAGGUGUUACUAAGUUAUUAAAAGAAUGUAGAUUGUACUUCUGAACUAAAGAAGUCAAAGUUCCUAAAUGUUAUUUGUACAAAAAAGAAUGAAAAUAAUGGUUGAUACACAUAUUAUAUGUUUAAAGCAAAUUAAUUUUUAUUAAUUUUUAAACUUUAUAUAAUUUAUAAAAAUCAUCUUGAAUUAAUAUGGACAAUGGGUUUUCUAGAUUUACAUUGUACAGGACAAAAAAAAAAUUUCAAAUUCAUUUUGGACUUCACUUCUAAAUGGGCUUUUAUUAAUUUUUAAUUUCUUUUUAAUUUCAUUUAAUAUUUUUUAUAAAUUUUAAUAAUAUUUUAUAUAUUUAUAAAAUUUUUAAAACAUUAAAACUUUAUAAAAAAAUUUAUAAUUUUUUUUUCUUAAAAUAAGCUUUGGAAUGAAUGAAUAUAGACAAUUGUAUGUCCAAAGUUAUUCUAGUAAAAAAUUUAAGUAUUCCUUUUAAUUUUUUAUUUUAUGAAAAUUGUAUUUUGCUGACAUGGCACAAUCUAAAAAUUCCAUACGUCUAGCACUUAACACCAUUACAAAAAUGAUACUAAAAUGGAAUGAAAAUUCGACACUAACUUACGAAAAAAUCAUAAAUACCAAUUUAAGAGAAAGUGACAAAUUCAAGAACUAAAUGAGUAUUUAAACUUAUUUAUAUUUAAAUCAAUUUAGACAUGCAUUAAAUUUCUAAUUGUGUUUAAAUGAUAAGAAAUGAAAAAGAAGAUAUAAAAUUUUGAUCGAAAAAUAAACAUAAAAUAAAAAUCACUUACAAUUAUAAAUAAAACCAUUGAUAAAUGUAUUAUGUUAAAUUCCAGGAUAGAUGAAAUAACAGAAAUGAGGUUGAAGCAUCAUUGAGCUCUCAUACAUUGAAUCCUUGAUCACGACGCUUGUGCCUCACCCCAAGGCCUGACGCGCGUCUGUCGCCUUGCACCAAAAGAACAAAGGGCGUCUCUUCUCUCCCCUCCAUUGACUUUGCCGAUGUCUGCAAAAAAAAAAAAAAAGACAAAGAAAGAACACAGAAACGGCAAGACAAUAGCAGCAGAAACAGUAACAAAUUUGAAUAAUAAACAGUCUAAUAUGGCUAUAAAAGUCAUUACGUAUUAUUUUUUACAGGCAAUCGAAUAAAAAAAACAGAGAAAUAAAUAAAAGAGAAGAUUUCAAAAAAUAUAAAGGUAGUUAUAUAUAUAUAUAUAUAUGGUUUGAAAAGCUAUAAUAAAUACAUAAAAAAUAGAGAGAGAGGGGGAGGAUUCUCACUUGUCGUUCCACCUUUCGCCACCGUCGAGGACAACCUUCGGCACCUCAAAUGUCUCAUAACCCAUUAGGGUUUUGACUUCCGACGAAGGUCUGGAACGUGGCGCGACUGAAGGUUUUCCUUCGUGAUUCUUUUUCUUUUUUUUUAUUUCAAAAAAUAUUCGGUUGGAUCUGUUUUCUUUUAAUAACUUUUAGAAAGGGACUAAAAGUAAUUUUUUUAUUUUCCGGCCACGAAGGAGGCACAGUGGAGGCUCGCCGGCAUCCGGGCCGAAGAUGGGGAGAACCGAGAGAGAAAGAGAGAACUCUCAGGUUUUUUUUAAAAAACAAAGACAUAAUGAUUUUUUUUAAAGAUUUUUAGCUUUUAUAGGAGAUGUAAAACGACGUCAUCUAGGGCUGGUUUCAAUAGCACGAAAACGGCGCCGUGUUGGCCUUCGACCUGAUUGCCUGUUCCAAGACCUUAGGAUCCGCGUGUUUUUUGUGACUAGGGUAUAAUUGGACAUUAGUCCUUCCAAUUUUUAAGCAGUUUCCAAUGUGGUCUUGUUUCUUUUUUAAUUUAACCAUUUGAUUUUAUCUUAAUUUCAUUUUUGGUCCUUGGCCAUUUUAAGAGAGGGAUACCUGAAACAGAGUCGUUUCAGUUGACUCGAGACCCAACCUGAGAUCCGACCCGAUCCUUUAAUAGGAUCCGCGUGUUUUUAAAAAAGGGGCCUAUUUGCGCUUUCAACCUUCUUCCUUUUAAGUCAUUUUAAUUAGGUCCUAAUUUCACUAUUUUCUUUUUUAGAAAGUUUCCAUUUAAUUUUACACCGCUUUCAACUAAGUCCUCGAAUCGCUGAAGGUACGCGUGUCCUUAGGAUUGGGAUAAUUCCUCAAUUGGUCCUUGUUUGUUUUCACACUUUUCAUUUUAGUAUGUUAUUUAUUUAUUUAUUUUAUCUUAAUUCAUUCUUUUAAUUUAAUUUAAAUGACAAUUAGACCCUUUAUUUAUUUUAAUUCUUUUAAUUAUUUACUUGUUUGCUUAUUUAUUAUUCCUUCACUUUUGGUUUAUGUUUAAAAUUGUAUUUCUUAUUAUUUUCUUUUCAUCGAGCAUUUAUUUAUUUAUUCAUUUUAUUUUAUUAUUUAUUUAUUUAUUUACUUAUUAUUCCUUUGUAUACAUGCAUAAGAAUUGGAUUGUGCAUAUGCUUUUAUUGGUACAUUUUUGUUUAUUACUAUCAUUCAUUGUUUUAUUUUUAUUUUUAAGCAUGUUAUUGUUAUUUUAUUUCUCUCAGCAUUUUUAUGUCAUGUCCAUUUAUCUUUUUAAUCAUGCAUCGUCCAUUUUUUAUUUACCUUAAAAUACUUCAUUUAAUCAUUAUUACUAUAAUACGAUUAUUAAUAUUAAUAGUAUUAUUAUAAUUAUGUUAUUAUAAUAAUAUUCUUUUAUUUCACUUAUUAUUUAUUAUUCUAUCUACAUAGUUGUUUUAAAUUAUCUCAUUUUCACCAUAUCAUACAUUAAGGUUCAAACAUUUAUCCAUUUGUAUAUCAUGCCCGAAUAAAUUAAAAACACAUCACCUUAAGUGUUUGUUUUUUUACACGAUGCAUAAAAAAAGAAUUUUUUUUAAACCGAGGCAAAUGUUCAUUAUUUCGAAUUUAGAAAAGUUGUGUUCCUAACGUACAGAAUAUGACUUCCUUCUAAAACCGAGAUAGUUGAAUAUUUAUUUUAAAAUAAAUAAAAACGAGAUUUAAGUAAUGAUCAAUUGGUGUUUAUUCUCGUUUUCGAGGUUUUAAGGCAUUGUGUCCUAACACACGGGACGUGAUCCUUUUUCUCGAUUAACUUGAAAUAAGCCCUUCUUGAGAAAAUUACUUUGGUUAGAUAAUGCCUUAAUACAAAAAGGAUCGUGUUUUAAACUCUUUUCAAAUUUUCAAUUCACAACACUAAGACAUUAAUAAAUCAACUAGGUACCAAUUUUGGGUGUUACGAGGGUGCUAAUCCUUCCUCAUGCAUAACCGACUUCCGAACCCAUUUUUUGAAUCUUGUAGACAAAAAAUCAUUAUUUUAGUAAAUCAAACCAUUUAUUAAAACGAUCAAAUUACGAGGUGAUCCAAUCACACACACCUCAUAAAAAGGGAUCGGUGGAGACUCCCAUUUUCGUCUUUUUCUUAAAAUAAAAAAGGUCGAUCUCAAAAAAGGUUUCGACAAUCAUAUUAUCUCAUAAUUAGAAUCCACAAUAUUGAUUCAAGUUAAAAUGUCAAGUCACUAAACUUAUCAAAAAUUCAUAACCAUAAACAACCCUUUGUUCAAUUUCUCGUGUUCUCUCUCUCUCUCUCUCUCUCUCUCUCUCUCUCUCUCUCUCUUUCUCUCUCUAAACAAAGGAAAUGAAAUAUUUGUCUAGGGUGUUGCUAAAUUUUUUUACACGAAUAAGGAUGAUAACCUAAGCACCCCACGAAAAUAGAUGACAACCCAAACACCUAACUUCUAAGACCAGUGGAGUAAGUGAAUGGCUUAGAACAUCACUCAAUUUUUUUACACGAAAAUAGAUGACAACCCAAACACCUAACUUGUGUUACUCAAUCGAUCACAGUUUUAAGAUUAUACUUUUAAUCUAAAUAGUUAGUUGGGUAUUUGUUGAUUUUUUUAUUUUUUUUCUUUUAUUUUUCAAUUUUAUUAAAGUGCCUUUAUUUAAUGUUGUUGGCUCUACAAGGUCCAUCAUUCGUUCAAAUCAGAUUUCUAAUCCUAUUUCCUCUCACUCUUGAAGUUUCAUCAUUGGGCAUUCUCUUUUCCCUUUGUACUUGAGAGGCUUCAGUGCCUCCAUCUCAUUGACAACUUGUAACAAUAUGAUUUUAAGUGGUAUCAAAAAAUGUGGUUUCAAAAUUCUAUUUUUAUAAAUCGAGUCUGCAAAGAUGAAAUAUAAAAAUUAAUGAAAUUAGUAUAAAUAUAUAUUGAAGUUCAGUUAAGUAAUUUAAUCGAGAAAACUAUUAAUUAAAACUUAAGGAUUAAAUUGGAAAAGUUCAAUCGCUAUUGAGUUUUAAUUUAAAAAUACUUGAGGACCAAGAUAACAAUUAUUUAAAGGACAAAAAUGUUAAUAAACCAACUUUAAUCAUGAAAUAGUGGAGAAUGAUGAUUGCUUACACUUAAAUUAAUUUAUGAUUAAAAUGUGUAAGUUAAUCUCUUAAUUAACUAAAUCAAACAAGAUUAAUUAAACUAAAUUAACAUUAAUUAAAGUGUAUAUAUGUGUGUAUUUUAGCGGAAGGAAAAAUGAAAAAAACAUCCUCAUCAUCUUCCUCCACCGUCCACCAAAGUAAGUAAGAAAGAAAUGCUUCAAACCAUUCCAACAUUUGACUAUUAAUCAAGUAAGCUCCUUAAGCUAUUUUUAUUUUUAUUUUUAUGGAAUUUGAAUCAUGAGAGCUUGAUUCAAUUAGCCUGUGUAUCAAUUUAUUCAAUUUUUUAGUUUCUAGAAUUUUUCCAUUAAAAUGAAAUUGUACUUUCUAACAGACGAUUUUGAAUUCAAAUUCUGAGUUUGAAACAAGUGUUUUCGAACUUACAUUUUUCUAACAUUUGUGAGAGUUGUGUCAAAUAUUAUGCUUUUGAAACGCAUCCUAAGUGAGAUUAAGUCAAAAAAUUUUAAACAAAUUAAUAUAAUCGCUUAAAAUCUAACCAUAACAUCUAAGUCGGGUUUAAAAUGUUACAAUAAUAAUAUAAAAAUUACAUGUAAAAAUUAGCAUAUAUAUAUAUAUAUAAACAAUGACACCGUAAGUGAAAAUCUAUCUUUGAUCCUAACAAUUGUCGAAUCCACGUGAAACAUGGGAAAAAAGUAAGAUGAUGGUAGCAUAAAUGACAUCAAUGAAGUGAGGGCAUCACUUUCUAAAUUUAUAAUCUUUGGUUGCUUUUUGGUGAAAGCAAAAUCUGCACUUGACUUGGGGUCAAUAUUAUAUAUUAUCCUUUGUAAAUUAGAUAAGUAGAUGUCAUGAAAGAGACAAUAGCAAUUAUUGCUUUCUUUUUCUUUUGUGGAAAAUUUGAUCCUAAAAGCAAAGUUACUGCACUCAGUGGGUAAGGAAAUUGGGUUAACCUUACUUUCAAAUUAAUAAUUUAAAUAAGUAUGUGAAUUUGAGAUUUUAUUGUAUAAAAAAUUUAAUUUCACGUGAAACAUGUAAAAGAGAAAAAAGUAGGAUGAUGGUAGGCAUAAAUGACAUCAAUGAAGUGAGGGCAUCACUUUCUAAAUUUAUAAUCUUUGGUUGCUUUUUGGUGAAAGCAAAAUCUGCACUUGACUUGGGGUCAAUAUUAUAUAUUAUCCUUUGUAAAUUAGAUAAGUAGAUGUCAUGAAAGAGACAAUAGCAAUUAUUGCUUUCUUUUUCUUUUGUGGAAAAUUUGAUCCUAAAAGCAAAGUUACUGCACUCAGUGGGUAAGGAAAUUGGGUUAACCUUACUUUCAAAUUAAUAAUUUAAAUAAGUAUGUGAAUUUGAGAUUUUAUUGUAUAAAAAAUUUAAUUUCAUAAUUAAAAAUAUUUUAUUUAAAUAUAUAUAAAUAUAAUUAUAUUAUAUUAGUAAUUUUUAUUUUUUAAUAUUAAAAUUAAUUAUAAAUUUAUACUUUUAGAUCUAAUCGGGUCAAAAAUAAAUAUUAUUUCAUAAUUUUUACUUUUUCAUCACUAAUGUUCACUUUUACUAUUUUCAUUUAAAUAUUUUUUUAAUCCACAAAAGACUUGAAAUUGGGCUAUAAAUAGGAGUGGAGAGAGGAGAUGAACUCAACCUACUUAGCUAUACUCCAAAAUGAAGCCACUGUUUCUUUUAGUUUGUGUUCUCUUAGCUUCCUCUUUCUUUAUUCCCAUUUCCGCCAUGCCUAUCCAGGACCAGCCCUUGGGUAAGAUUCAGCAGCGAGUCUUUAUGUUUAUAUAUAGGACAUCCACAUAUAUAUAUAUAAUUAACAGUAUGCAUGGAUGGAUGGACAUAAUAUAUGAUUGUUGCAGGUGGUGAACGCAAAGGAAAUGAAUGUGGUCGUGGAAUCAAAUGCAUACCAAAGCCAACGCCACGGC